rnacentral:sRNA from 1 species
AUGCUGCAUCUCUGUAGGUUCUUCU